rnacentral:rRNA from 1 species
ACAAGCGGAGGAGCAUGUGGUUAAUUCGAUGAUACGCGAGGAACCUUACCUGGGCUCGAACGUAAGAUGACUGUAGGUGAAAGCUUACAUCUCUUCGGAGCAUUUUACGAGGUGCUGCAUGGUUGUCGUCAGCUCGUGCCGUGAGGUGUCGGGUUAAGUCCCAUAACGAGCGCAACCCCUACCUUAGUUGCCAUCAGGUUAAGCUGGGGACUCUAAAGGAACUGCCUACGCAAGUAGUGAGGAAGGCGGGGAUGACGUCAAAUCAGCACGGCCCUUACGUCCAGGGCUACACACGUGCUACAAUGGCCGAUACAGUGGGCAGCUACCUGGUGACAGGAUGCAAAUCUCCAAAGUCGGUCUCAGUUCGGAUCGGAGUCUGCAACCCGACUCCGUGAAGUUGGAUUCGCUAGUAAUCGCGCAUCAGCCAUGGCGCGGUGAAUACGUUCCCGGGCCUU